UUAGGUCAGAAACUGGCAGCAAUUUCUGGAAUGUCAAAAGUAAAAAUAAGAAGUGGAGAAUUAACUCUGCUAGCACAAAAUGAGGAGCUGUCACCAUUAAACGAACAUGACAAGAUGUUUUUCAGACCUGAACCGGAAGAGAUGGUGCCAGGACCCUAUGAAGAAUCUUCACCUGCCCCACAUCAGUGAUAAACAAAUAUCUUUCUGGAACAGAACCCACAAGAUCUCUGAGCAUGGCUUCAGGAAAACCAAAUCGUCUCUGCCCUCAGAGUCCUGACCUCAUGAAUUAGAAGAAGUGAAAGAAGAUGGCUUCCAAAUUAUGUUUUAAAACUUGUGAGGAUUUAAACUCUAUCCAUAGAACUUUCCAUUAAACACUGAAGCAUCCUUGAAACAGAAUAAAUUGAUGUCUGUUUCAUUUAUUUAUUCAAAUACACCUCUAUACUCAAAAAAUAAUCCCCUACUAGAAUAAUUUUUCAGAAAAUAUUUUUGAAAACUUAGAUGAAACCAUAAUUUAAGCUGUGAUAUCUCUAUUUUGGCAAAUGUUUCAAGGUGUCUGGAGGUGGGGCCUUGGGCAUCUAGCCUCUAUGUAAUGGGCAUGCCAAUUUCUGCAAGCUUAACUUUGAAUCAUUACUAUCUACUCACUUGGAGAAGAAAAACUCCAGGACCAAAGAUCAGACACAGUCUUUUCUUUUCUCUAUGACUUUUGUUCUAACUUUCAUUCCUCUCUGCUUUUCUUCUCAAAAUAUGUGAUAUCCAACAUUUUCUUGUUCACAGUUACCUUGAAUUAAUAAAUAGUCACAACCUUUCAGAUCCCUCUGCUUUGAAGACUUUUUCACUAUAAGAAAUCAGCCAAAAUUUUUAAGAGUAAUGUUGAAAUUUUCUUUUGGAAGGUGUUAGAAAAUGAGGUACUCCCUUGCUUUUGAGACUCUUUUAAGAAAAGAGGUUAUGAUUUUCCUAAAGCACAUUUUCUAUUUCUAGACUUAUUACAAAUCCUUGUUAGAUAAUGUACUCUUCACAAUAAAUAGAGAGUUUACUAACAGAGAAAAUAUUAUUGCUUCCCUUAAGAGUUAUCUUUCCCCUACCUCCUUCUCUUUCCCCCGGCCCUCUCCUCCCUCUCUCUCCCAACCCCCAUCAUUCUGUCUUGAAAAGAUUGCCUUAAUGUUUGGGCAUUUAUUAUACAUGAGUAUUUCUCUAUUUCUUACAUGAUUGUUGAUUUUCUUGACUAUUGCAAAGUUGUUAAAAGUUAUAAAUAGAUUUUGAAAUAAAAGGAGUUAGUUAUGAUAAGAGUUUUUCAGAAACUGCCCAGGCUGUAAUUUUCUCAGAAUAUUAAGAUAAAUGUUUAAGGAAAUAAUCAUUGCCGAAAAUUAUUCUGGUAGACAACUUUUUAGAUAAUUUUUGGUUUUCACUAUAAGAAAAUUUGCUUUUAUUAUAGUGAAUUUCCUCCUUCUCUACUAGAUGUGAGAUACAAGUAUACAUAAAUCUAUGUAUUCUAUUGAGGCCCAUUAACCUGAGGCAGUGGGCAGUAGCUCAGACCUUAGACUAUAUCUUGAAAAUGUAGUGUCUCCAAGUUCUAAUUCCUCUUUUACAUUGUUACUUGACCUUGAAGAAAAACACGUGAACUGUUUCCUUUUUUUCUUAUUUACUAGGAAAUUCGAACAAAAUUUGGAAACUAUCUGUAGCAAUUAUAUGCCUCAGGAAUGCAUU